rnacentral:misc_RNA from 1 species
GAUGAAGAACGUAGCGAAAUGCGAUAAGUAGUGUGAAUUGCAGAAUUCCGUGAAUCAUCGAAUCUUUGAACGCACAUUGCGCCUUCUGGUAUUCCGGAAGGCAUGCCUGUUCGAGAGUCAUUAACAACCGUUUCGAUCCCUUUCUUUCAGAAAUUACAAAGAGGAAAAGGGUUUGGUUAUGGUGGAGGAGGGAAAGGGAGCGUUUAGCCUGUAAAAAAAGAGGCUGUGUUCCGCCUCCCCCCCCAAAUUGUACAGGCGGUCGUGUGCGCCCACGCAUCGAGGUGUUGUAAAAGCUGCCACGGCACUUUUCACCUGUGCAGUGCGAGAUUGGCCAGCCGGUUUAAAAACCCCUCCAAACAAUCAAAGGUUGACCUCGGAUCAGGUAGGGAUACCCGCUGAACUUAAGCAUAUCAAUAAGCGGAGGA